CGUGCCAGGGCCGGCGCUGCAUGGCGCUGCUCAGCCUGCCUUGCAGAGGGAGCUCGAGUCCCGCUCUGCGCCUCGCAGCGCCUCUCCCUCCGCAGCGCACACGGCGGCAGCGCAGCGAGGCGGCGGCGAGGCAGGGCUGCGGGACGGAGCGGGCCGAGAAAAAAAAAAAACGCCCGAACCGCUUCCGCCGAAUUCCGAAACCACCCCGAGGAGGUGGAGGAGGGAGAACGGAGAGAGCCGAAAGGAGAUGAUGUUAAAGCCACACAAAUGAGAUUAUUCCUGGGACUUCCAGGAUCAGAGUCAUUUUGUACUGACGUGCAGCACCCUGCCUGCCCUGACAGAAGGCUGUUUUCCUGCUCCAAUCUCUGCAGCCAAGGUACAGCUUAUCCUGGAAGAUGGUAUUCUGCUGCAGGGAUGGGGCCAGGCUUUGGCAGAGCAAGGAGAACACACACAUAGGCUGCUGGAGCGCUGAACCGUUGGCUAUUACCCAACUGCAGCAUGUGCCAGCCAAGACCCCUGUUCUCACUCCUGCUGCCUGCAGCUGAGAGCAUGAUUCAGAGCUUUGGGAGAAAUACUGUGCUUUUGGCCUGAGGCUUGUCCAGCCCCCAAGUAGGUGGAAUAAUGCUAAGCUAGCACUGAUGGAGCAAAGCAUCUCCUGCUCGUACCUUUCCUGCAAUCCUGUCUGCAGAUAAAGCCACAUCCAAAAGCGGUUGCUCUGAAAGCAUCACCCUGACAGAUGUCAGGUUUGUUGAGGUGGUGCUGUGUCUGCUUGAUGCUGCCGUGUCCCAGAUACCCAGCACAGACCUGGGUGGCAGAGAGCUGACCAAGCUGCCCUGAGCCUCCUCCUGGCCUUGCAAGCUUAUGGUACUAAAGCACACCCCAGUAAUGAGAGAUGCCUGGGUGCCCUUGCUGCUGACGUGGUGCUUGCCAACCACUUGCAGUAAGCACGUUUCCCAUGUGGGACACCCUGUGCACCGUGGUGUGAUGCUGCUGGAGCUGACCACAGGGGUCUUUGCCACUGCUGGCGCCUUUUGCUGCUUUAACCUGCUCCCCCCUCAGAACUGUGAUGGCUGCUAAGAUGAUGAAGAGAUUGGAGCAUCUGCCAUAUAAAAAAGAGCCUGGAAGAAUGAAGGCUUGGAGCGGUUCUUAUCCAUGUCUCUCAACACUUGUGGUGGGUAAAGAAGACAGGCAGAUUCUCCUCAGUGUUUCCCAGUGACAGAACGAGAGCCAUACUGAUAACAGAAUACAGGAAUUCCAUUGAAACUAAAGAAAUGCUUUUUGUGCAGGGGUGGCUGAACACUGGAACACGUAGCACAGAAGCAUUCUGCCAUCUCCAUCCUCAGAAACAGUCAAAACCUGACACGACGUGGUCCUGAGCAGCCUGCUCGAGCAUGUUGAGUGGGGAGGAAUGGAAGGCUGUGUGAAGGCCAUGGUCAGAGGUCCUUUCCCAACUCUAUUCCAUAAUUCCUUGAUCUGCUGUGGCUUGUUAUCAUUGUAAUGAGACAUACAUGGUGCUACCAUUCUCACUUGCAGCCCUUGCCCCCCUUCUCUGCUCUGGGGCAGGUCAGGGCUUCCCUGUUCUGAGAAACCUGCUCUGCCCACUGCGGUGUGGCGCCUUGGUGAGGCUUCCCAUGCUCUGCAGCAUCUUGCUAACUCUCACAUAGCUCAGAGAAAGUGAAAGCUCCUUGCUUUGCUGAAAGAGACGCCUGCUAUACUGCUGGUAAAAC